ensembl:processed_transcript
AACUGUCCCCUGAAACAAAGGACCAUGCUGUGGAUCUGAUCCAAAAAGGUUCUGGGUUAAGGGAAAGCAGGAGUCAGAGCCAGGGAGGGCAUGAAAGGCAGCCAGGAGCCUAGAGAGAGAAGCUGGGGUCAAGGGUAGGGCGCUGGGAGUACAGCCCUGGCCCAAACAGCAGGAGAGUAGGAACCAUGGCACCUCUUUUUCCAGGCUACAUGCGGAUCCAGCAGUUUCGGAAGAAUGAUGGCUCCUUUGGGGCGUGGUUACACCGGGACAGCAGCACCUGGCUGACGGCCUUUGUGCUGAAGAUUCUGAGUUUGGCCCAGGAAGAGGUGGGCAACUCCCCGGAGAAGCUGCAGGAGACGGCUAGCUGGCUGCUGGCCCAGCAGCUGGGCGAUGGCUCCUUCCACGACCCAUGUCCAGUCAUCCACAGAGCAAUGCAGGGGGGCUUGGUGGGGUCCGACGAGACGGUGGCACUGACCGCCUUUGUGGUCAUUGCACUUCACCACGGAUUGGACGUCUUCCAGGAUGAGGAUGCGAAGCAGCUGAAGAACAGAGUGGAAGCCUCCAUCACCAAGGCAAACUCGUUCUUGGGGCAGAAGGCAAGUGCUGGGCUGCUGGGUGCCCACGCCGCCGCCAUCACAGCCUAUGCCCUUACGCUGACCAAGGCCUCGGAGGACCUGCGGAAUGUUGCCCACAACAGCCUGAUGGCCAUGGCUGAGGAAACAGGGGAAAACCUCUACUGGGGCUUAGUCCUUGGCUCUCAGGACAACGUUGUGUUGCGCCCCGCAGCCCCCCGUAACUCAACAGAACCUGUACCCCAGGC